UACCACCCUGAACGUGCCUGAUCUUGGAAGCUAAGCAGGAUCAGGCCUGGUUAGUCCUUGGAUGGGAAACAUCCUGUCAAAUCCAGCA
rnacentral:rRNA from 1 species